CCCAGCAGCCUCAGAAGCAGCGGAUUAAAGCUCCACAAUCAACUUGAUGUACCCUGCGUCUGUGGAAUACAUGAAUAGACAACGAAUCAUCCCAAAUUGAGGAGGUGGACUUUGAGAGCAAGAUCUAUGAUUUUUUCCCCUUUUCCUCUUUUUGUGAAUGUGUAUGUGUAUGCUUCUGUGUGAGAUCUUGUCUGUACAGCUUUGCUUCCACCAUUUGUCCUAGGGUUUUAUCCAUCCUUUUUUUCUAAAUAAUUAUUUUUUAAUUCAAUAACUUUAUUAUAUUUUACUUUAUUUUAUUUUACUGUAUCUUCUUUCUUUUUUCCUUCCUUCCCUCCUCCCUCCCUCCCUCCUUUCUUUCCUUCUUGCCUUCUUCUUUCUUUCUUUCUUCCUUCCUUCCUUCUCUCCUUUCUUUCUUCCUACUUCUACUAAUUCUCUCUACUUUUUCUCCCUUUUAUUCAGAGCCGUGUGGAUGAAAGGCUCCUGUGCUGUGCCUCUGAGGUGGGAGAGCCAACUUCAGGACACUGGUCAACAAGAGACCUCCCAGCUCCACAAAAUAUCAAAUGGCGAAAAUCUCCCAGAGAUCUCCAUCUCAACACCAGCACCCAGCUUCACUCAACGACCAGCAAGCUACAGUGCUGGACACCCUAUGCCAAACAACUAGCAAAACAGGAACACAGCCCCACCCAUUAGCAUAGAGGCUGCCUAAAAUCAUAAUAAGUCCACAGACACCCCAAAACACACCACCAGACGUGGAGCUGCCCACCAGAAAGACAAGAUCCAGCCUCAUCCACCAGAACACAGGCACUAGUCCCCUCCACCAGGAAGCCUACACAACCCAAUGAACCAACUUUAGCCAAUGGGGACAGAAACCAAAAACAACAGGAACUACGAACCUGCAGCCUGCAAAAAGGAGACCCCAAACACAGUAAGAUAAGCAAAAUGAGAAGACAGAAAAACACACAGCAGAUGAAGGAGCAAGAUAAAAACCCACCAGACCUAACAAAU